rnacentral:rRNA from 1 species
UUAGAGUUUGAUCCUGGCUCAGGACGAACGCUGGCGGUGUGCCUAAAACAUGUAAGUCGAACGAACCUUCGGGUCAGUGGCGAACGGCGGAGUAAUACAUGAGUAACGUGCCCUUCAGACGGGGAUAUACAGUCGAAAGACUGGGCAAUACCGGAUGAGAUGGCGAGGAGGCAUCUCCUUGUCAUGAAAUGGUUUUUCGCUGAAGGAGCGGCUCAUGACACAUCAGAUAGUUGGUGGGGUAACGGCCUACCAAGUCUACGACGUGUAGGGGGUCUGAGAGGAUGAUCCCCCCGAGUGGGACUGAGACACGGCCCACACACCUACGGGUGGCAGCAGUUGGGAAUCUUGCGCAAUGGGGGAAACCCUGACGCAGCGACACCGCGUGGAGGAUGAAGGAUUUCGGUCUGUAAACUCCUUUUGCUAGGAAAGACUUAGGACGGUACCUAGCGAAUAAGCUCCGGCUAACUACGUGCCAGCAGCCGCGGUAAUACGUAGGGAGCAAGCGUUGUCCGGAUUUACUGGGCGUAAAGGGCGUGUAGGCGGUCUGUUAAGUGUGACGUGAAAUCUUCAGGGCUCAACCCGAAAAUUGCGUCGCAGACUGGCAGACUAGAGGGAAGCAGAGGUUGAUAGAAUUCCUGGUGUAGCGGUGACAU